GCGAGCGGCGGAUGGGUGAGUAACACGUGGGGAACCUGCCCCUAAGUCUGGGAUACCAUUUGGAAACAGGUGCUAAUACCGGAUAAUAAAGCAGAUCGCAUGAUCAGCUUUUGAAAGGCGGCGUAAGCUGUCGCUAAGGGAUGGCCCCGCGGUGCAUUAGCUAGUUGGUAAGGUAACGGCUUACCAAGGCGACGAUGCAUAGCCGAGUUGAGAGACUGAUCGGCCACAUUGGGACUGAGACACGGCCCAAACUCCUACGGGAGGCAGCAGUAGGGAAUCUUCCACAAUGGACGCAAGUCUGAUGGAGCAACGCCGCGUGAGUGAAGAAGGUUUUCGGAUCGUAAAGCUCUGUUGUUGGUGAAGAAGGAUAGAGGUAGUAACUGGCCUUUAUUUGACGGUAAUCAACCAGAAAGUCACGGCUAACUACGUGCCAGCAGCCGCGGUAAUACGUAGGUGGCAAGCGUUGUCCGGAUUUAUUGGGGCGUAAAGCGAGCGCAGGCGGAAAAAUAAGUCUAAUGUGAAAGCCCUCGGCUUAACCGAGGAACUGCAUCGGAAACUGUUUUUCUUGAGUGCCAGAAGAGGAGAGUGGAACUCCAUUGUGUAGCGGUUGGAAUGCGUACAUAUAUGGAA
rnacentral:rRNA from 1 species